CCAGCCAUCUCCAACAGCAGUGCCAGCCUCCGACAGCCCUCCCACCAAGCAAGGGUGAAGAAGGCAGGAGAGAGACACAAGCUGGCAAAGGAGCGGCGAGAAGAGCGGGCCAAGUACCUGGGGCCAAGAAGGCAGUGUGGCUGGAGAAGGAGGAGAAGGCCAAGGCGCUGCGGGAGAAGCAGCUCCAGAGCCAGAUCUGCCCCUCAGUGCAUUCGUGUGCUCGCACGCGCAGACAUCCCUUCUCCCCCAUACACACAUAUACACUCACAGCCUCUCUGGCCUCUUCCCUUGGGGAGGGGCCACCUGUAGUAUUUGCCUUGAUUUGGUGGGGUACAGUGGAUGUGAAUACUGUAAAUAGCUUGUGCUCAGACUCCUCUGCGUGGAGAGGGUGGGUGCAGGAGGCAGACCCUCCCCCCAAAGCCCCCUGGGGAGAUCUUCCUCUCUCUAUUUAACUGUAACUGAGGGGGAUCCCAGGUCUGGGGAUGGGGGACACCUUGGGCCACAGGAUACUGGUUGCUUCAGGGGUACCCAUGCCCCCUGCCCUCGCCUGGAAUCAGUGU
rnacentral:lncRNA from 1 species